rnacentral:rRNA from 1 species
UACAGAGGGCUCAAGCGUUGUUCGGAUUCAUUGGGCGUAAAGGGUGCGUAGGCGGCGCGGUAAGGCGGGUGUGAAAUCUCGGAGCUUAACUCCGAAACUGCAUUCGAUACUGCCGUGCUUGAGGACUGGAGAGGAGACUGGAAUUUACGGUGUAGCGGUGAAAUGCGUAGAUAUCGUAAGGAAGACCAGUGGCGAAGGCGGGUCUCUGGACAGUUCCUGACGCUGAGGCACGAAGGUCAGGGGAGCAAACGGG